rnacentral:rRNA from 1 species
CUGGGAAACUGGGUCUAAUACCGGAUAUGACUCCUCAUCGCAUGGUGGGGGGUGGAAAGCUUUUUUGUGGUUUUGGAUGGACUCGCGGCCUAUCAGCUUGUUGGUGAGGUAAUGGCUCACCAAGGCGACGACGGGUAGCCGGCCUGAGAGGGUGACCGGCCACACUGGGACUGAGACACGGCCCAGACUCCUACGGGAGGCAGCAGUGGGGAAUAUUGCACAAUGGGCGCAAGCCUGAUGCAGCGACGCCGCGUGAGGGAUGACGGCCUUCGGGUUGUAAACCUCUUUCAGUAGGGAAGAAGCGAAAGUGACGGUACCUGCAGAAGAAGCGCCGGCUAACUACGUGCCAGCAGCCGCGGUAAUACGUAGGGCGCAAGCGUUAUCCGGAAUUAUUGGGCGUAAAGAGCUCGUAGGCGGUUUGUCGCGUCUGCCGUGAAAGUCCGGGGCUCAACUCCGGAUCUGCGGUGGGUACGGGCAGACUAGAGUGAUGUAGGGGAGACUGGAAUUCCUGGUGUAGCGGUGAAAUGCGCAGAUAUCAGAGGAACACCGAUGGCGAAGGCAGGGUCUCUGGGCAUUAACUGACGCUGAGGAGCGAAAGCAUGGGGGAGCGAACAGGAUUAGAUACCCUGGUAGUCCAUGCCGUAAACGUUGGGCACUAGGUGUGGGGGACAUUCCACGUUUUCCGCGCC